rnacentral:tRNA from 1 species
GGGCUCUUAGCUCAGUGGUCAGAGCAGGGGACUCAUAAUCCCUUGGUCGCAGGUUCGACCCCUGCAGGGCCCA